AGUGAACGCUGGCGGUAUGCCUAACACAUGCAAGUCGAACGGCAGCACAGUAAGAGCUUGCUCUUACGUGUGUCGAGUGUCGGACGGGUGAGGAAUACAUCGGAAUCUACUUUUUCGUGGGGGAUAACGUAGGGAAACGUACGCUAAUACCGCAUACGACCUACGGGUGAAAGCAGGGGAUCUUCGGACCUUGCGCGAUUGAAUGAGCCGAUGUCGGAUUAGCUAGUUGGCGGGGUAAAGGCCCACCAAGGCGACGAUCCGUAGCUGGUCUGAGAGGAUGGUCAGACACACUGGAAGUGAGACACGGUACAGACUCCUACGGGAGGCAGCAGUGGGGAAUAUUAGGCAAUGGGGGAAAGCCUGAUCCAGCCAUACCGCGUGGGUGAAGAAGGCCUUCGGGUUGUAAAGCCCUUUUGUUGGGAAAGAAAAGCAGCAGGUUAAUACCCCGCUGUUCUGACGGUACCCAAAGAAUAAGCACCGGCUAACUUCGUG
rnacentral:rRNA from 1 species